AGAGCCAGUUUGCUGCUACGACUGCAUUCCUUGUCCAGAGGGGACCAUCUCCACUCAGGAAGAUACCAAAAAAUGCACCAAAUGCCCAGAUGAUCAAUAUCCAACUGAGAACCGAGUCCAGUGCAUCCCCAAAAGAAUAAACUUCCUGUCCUAUGAAGAACAUCUCAGCAUCAUCCUCAUCUCCUUUGCUCUACUCUUGUUCCUAAUCACAGCCUUUGUUUUAAUCGUAUUCAUUAAAUACCUUGAAACUCUAUUGUCGAAGCAAACAACCGGGACCUCUCCUACAUCCCCCUGGUCUCCCUUCUGCUUUGCUUCUUAUCCUCCUUGUUCUUCAUUGGCCAACCAAGGAAAGCCACCUGCCUUCUCUGACAAACAGUGUUCAGCAUUGUCUUCUCAGUAGCCGUGCCGUCUGUGUUGGCCAAAACUAUCACAGUAGUGCUGGCAUUCCUAGCUUCAAAACUAGUCAAUAAAGUGAAAAGAUGGUUGGGGAAGAGUUUGGCCAACUCCAUCAUCCUUUCUUGUUCUGCUGUCCAAAUUCUCAUCUGUGCCAUGUGGUUGGGAGUUUCUUCCCCAUUUCCUGACUCUGAUCUCUACUCCCAGUCUGAAGAGAUUAUCCUUCAGUGCAAUGAAGGCUCUGUCACCAUGUUUUAUGUUGUCCUUGGCUACAUGGGCUUCCUUGCUGCAAUUUGCUUCACGGUGGCUUUCCUGGCCAGGAACCUGCCUGGAGUUUUCAAUGAAGCCAAGCUGAUCAUCUUCAGCAUGCUGGUUUUCUGCAGUGUCUGGGUUUUCUUCCUCCCCACCUACCUGAGCACUAAAGGAAAAUACAUGGUGGCCGUGCAGGUCUUCUCCAUCUUGGCUUCCAGUGCUGGACUGUUGGGCUGCAUCUUCUUCCCAAGUGCUACAUUAUCAUCCUGAGGCCAGAUCUAAACACUAAGGAAGAUCUAAUGGCAAAAGCAGGGGAAUAAUUGUGAAAUUGUUUCUUAGGUUGGUGACUUCUAAUUAUCCAUUAUUAUUGGUUAUAUAUUCUUCCUUUGGAUUUGCUUGACGACUUAUGUUUAUUAAAACUGAAGGAACUAAAUAUAUGAAGUUUGUUAGUUAGAUGAAAAUUCAAGAUAAUCAUCAAAUACAUUAAUAAUAAAUAAAUAAGUAAACAAAAAAAUGAAUAAAUAUUAUGUUUUUUAAA